GAUGAAGAACGUAGCGAAAUGCGAUAAGUAAUGUGAAUUGCAGAAUUCAGUGAAUCAUCGGAUCUUUGAACGCACAUUGCGCCCGCCAGUAUUCUGGCGGGCAUGCCUGUUCGAGCGUCUUUUCAACCCUCAGGCCCCCAGUGCCUGGUGUUGGGGAUCGGCCCAGCCUUCCUGUAAGGCCGCCGGCCCCGAAAUCUAGUGGCGGUCUCGCUGUAGUCCUCCUCUGCGUAGUAGCACAACCUCGCAGUUGGAACGCGGCGGUGGCCAUGCCGUUAAACACCCCACUUCUGAAAGUUGACCUCGGAUCAGGUAGGAAUACCCGCUGAACUUAAGCAUAUCAAUAAGCGGAGGA
rnacentral:misc_RNA from 1 species